GCUUUAUGACUGUAAUCCCACCCUCCUCACUUCUUUGUCCCGUUACCCAGAGUUCAUCUGGCCAGUUCCUAGAACUCCUUCAAUGAGAUCUGUAACGUGAGUGAAGGAUGAAGCUGGACCGACCGUUACCUGCAUUCCUCCGAGCAUGCCGAGCACUCACAUGCAGCUGGGCCACGCCAACCCCGAUUGGCUGGACGGCCCACACGUGUACGACAGAGUUCCCCCCUCCCCCCCCCCACCCCACAACUCCAUCAGUUAUGUAAAGAGGCAGAGGAAGAGGACCAAGAAGGAGGGCUGCGGGUACGCGAGCUUGAUCCAUGCCAACUCGGACACACUUCACCUCUUUCACACAUCUCGUGCUGCUUUACGGGGCACUGCGGAGAGAGAGAACAAAAAAGUAGAGCAAAGUGGAGGAAAUCAGGACAUUCAGGAGGACGGAACCAGAAUAAAGUCACAUCACCCCCCCCCCCCCCCCCCCGAAAAAAAGGAAUUUGAACAGGUGCUCGUCAGGAAUGACAAAGAGUUCAAGAGACAGUGCAAUGAUUGAAUAAAACGGUCAAGAUAACGAUUACAUUGUAAAUUGAAAUAGGACAACACAAUUAAUUGACUUGUAAUCACCAUCGCCAUUUUGUCUGGUCCGAUUAAAUCAACCUGAAUGUUCGUUUAACAUUCGCCGCCAUUGACGACUGCAGGCGUCCCAAAAUGCAUCCUCGCUUGGAGGGAUGGCAGCGGAUUAUGUGGGACGGGAGAAAGUGAACUCAUCUCUUUUUCGUCAAUGGACGCUACAGCUUCCUGUUUGCUUUCAAAACUUAGCUCGUAGCAGACGCGUGCGCAUUUUCAGCUUGAUGUCUCUGAUCCAACUGGUGAAAGGACACUUUGAUCCUCUCCUCUUUCAUCUAGAACUGCUUCAGACAACAAAGUGUAUGCAGAAAAGUGGUGAAGAUUGCACGACUGUCUGUGUCCUAUGUGUUGUGUUGUGUUAUUUUUGUUAUUUUUGACUUCAAAAUGGCGCCGCGAGAGUGGCUGCCUUUCCAGCAGCUCCUAUAUUUUGUUGUUCUACUUCUUCCUUUCAUAACUUUGCUGCUGUGAAUCGGGAAUUUCUCCAUUGCGAGACUAAUAAAGGUUUUCUUAUCUUACAA